rnacentral:rRNA from 1 species
GUCUACGGCCAUGCUACUCUGAACAAGCCCGAUCCCUUCUGAUCUCGAAAGCUAAGCAGGGUCGGGCCUGGUCAGUACUUGGAUGGGAAACCACCUAGGAAGACCAGGCAUAAAAAAUA